GGGCUCGUGGUCUAGCUGGUCAUGACGUCGCCUUCACACGGCGGAGGUCUCGAGUUCGAAUCUCGACGAGCCCA
rnacentral:tRNA from 1 species